CGCUUCUCCAUGACGUUGGUUCCUCUACACCCCGUCGUCUUCGCUCUGCUCUGCCCGUGGCGGCUGCCAUGUCCACUCUUGUGACGUGCCGAUAUGGUGGCGCUGUGGCCGGGUGUGAUCUGGAGAACCAGCGGGCGGUGGUGCACGGCCUGGGCGGCGGCGACCUGCGCGACCCCGGUGCUGCACGGACGCCUCCUUCCCCGUCGCAUUGAUCCAAGGCGGCUCUCUCCUAGCCAACCUCCAGCGACAAGAAGAUGGUAGAUGGGUCAUGGGAGAUGGGGCCACUCGACUCAGCCAAGGCAUCGGAGGACCAAAUCUGGACCGAAGCAGUUCACCAGCACGGGCGACUGAGAGAUUGGACGAGGAAGCCGAGCCGUUCGCGAGGCUAUCGACUCGCCCUUCGCUCGUGGGGCAGAGAAUAACCAGGAGGUGGAGCGGUCCACGGCGUCGUCGCCCUCGCCUUCGAGCCAUCCAUGACGUCGUCGCCAUCACCUAGCCACUCACCGCACAGGACGCAGAGAUGGGCGAGGACGCCUGUGGGAAGCAGCAGCGGCUCGAUGAUGACAGGAAGCAACAGUUCGCUCAUUCCUAGGUAUGUGAACCCUCUUGUCAUCUACAUGGAUAGCUUUCUGUAAUUGUGGCAAGGUGCAGAGAUGGUUGUACAGUCGGUUAUCCUGUCAUUGAAACCAUUCAUAAGGAUAACAUCUGUCAUGUCGUUGAAGCUCCUGCUGAGAUACCUGAGAAAAUGAAGAAGUUAGCUACCAAUGUAGCUGAAAAAAACUAUCAAAUCAUUAGAAGGUGUUGGUGUUUUUGUUGCCGGACUAUCUUUAGCAAAUGCCAAUCCAGUUUGUUCGAACAUUUAUGCAUGUCUUAUAUAAUUGAAUCCUCCUAUGUUGAUGUUGGAUCUUUCUCUCAUUGAUAAUUUCACUAGGUUUUAUCCAACGAAGUAGCCCCUAGGGCUCACAUUAGUGGACACCAUAUAAUCCAGACAUGGCACUCUUCACAAUACGAGCAACAUCUACGUGCUAUUCUUGGACUUCCUGUUGGUAACCCUGUAAUUAAAGCACCCGCAGCCAUAAUGAACAAAAUCCUGGGCUAUGAUGAGGUAUGUAUAUAUUUGAUUUUGUGUUGAUUUGCCCUCCAUGUUUUGCUAUGUUAAACAUUGAUAGUUAGGUCAAUAUUUGCUUUAUUAUUUAGUAACUCAUUAUUUUUGUAGGCCACCAUGUUAUUAUACUGGUUACCAAUUGGUACAAUGCAAUUUGGGAUUUUUUUUUGGGCCCAUUAGCUGAUUAAGAGGGCGCUAAAUAUUUCAGGUGCAUCAGUCUAUUGGCAUGCAAAGGCAGGUUCUGCCCACACACAUAGAUGUUUGUUGCAGAAAGGUUAUAAUUCUGCUUAUUGCAUUCUUGUGCCAUUGAGUAUUAUUUAAAGAAUUGUUCUUCCACAUAUUUGGAAGCAAAGUAAGAUGGGUCAUAUUACAAUUGUGGGGCGUUAAUUAUGUGUUCAGUGUAAAAGCACAUUUGGACAAGUACACAAGAAUUUGUUGUUAGGGUCUACCGACAAAACAUGUAGAUCUGACACAUAAAGGCACCUUGCCUUGUAUCAUGCAUUCCGCCCCAUAGACAUGUUCUUUAUCAGAUCUGAUGGUUCUCUGGUGGUUACAUGCCGACUGAAUCGAAUUGGGUUGGAUGCUCAGGUUUCUUGUCAACCAUUUAAUUUUAAGCAUUAUCUUUCAUGUCAUAGGCUAUUAUGUGCCAAUCCCUAAUAAAGGAAUCUGGUCCAGAAUUCUGUGGUGUACAAUAUCUCAAAAACUCUUUGGAAUUGGUAGGUAAAAAUUGAUUUGUUGUGAGCAGAAAGGAUCUUGAUAUGGUGCUUAAAAGCACUAACCCCGUCCUUAUUGUUCACAUACAGAUUUUUAUAUUUAUUUUAAUCGAUUCACUUUCGUCGGCAUUUUAGCGUGUGUUCCUUUUCAUGGCCAGCUUUACCAUUUGCUCUAGAAGGAGUUUUUCAACUCGGA